AUUGAACGCUGGCGGAAUGCUUUACACAUGCAAGUCGAACGGUAGAGGGGGCAACCCCUCGAGAGUGGCGAACGGGUGAGUAAUAUAUCGGAACGUGCCCAGUCGUGGGGGAUAACGUAGCGAAAGUUACGCUAAUACCGCAUACGAUCUAAGGAUGAAAGCGGGGGAUACCAAGACCUUGCGCGAUUGGAGCGGCCGAGAUCAGAUUAGGUAGUUGGUGGGGUAAAGGCUCACCAAGCCAACGAUCUGUAGCUGGUCUGAGAGGACGACCAGCCACACUGGAACUGAGACACGGUCCAGACUCCUACGGGAGGCAGCAGUGGGGAAUUUUGGACAAUGGACGCAAGUCUGAUCCAGCCAUUCCGCGUGCAGGAUGAAGGCCCUCGGGUUGUAAACUGCUUUUGUACGGAACGAAAAGGUCUCUCUUAAUACGGGGGGCUCAUGACGGUACCGUAAGAACAAGCACCGGCUAACUACGUGCCAGCCGCCGCCGUAA
rnacentral:rRNA from 1 species